AUCAAGAGCUGCCAACAGCUAGGCCCAGUGAAAUGUGGAAAUCACUCAUGUCUUCCUACCUUGUAAUAAGGUUAUUUCCUGGCCUCCCUUCUGUGACCUUUGACCAAGGCCAACCUUUAGCUGGAGAAUGUGACAUUUUGUUCUCCUCUGGCUGACAUGUGAUGCUCUCAUUAUUCAAAGACAUGCUACUUUACUGUUUAUGACUCAACCUGAUUGUUUUCUGUAUACUGAUCAAGGG